GUUCUACUACUGCCUCAGAUUUCUGCAGUGAUAACUACACGCAGAUUGUGCGGCCUACAGUCCAGCCAGCCAGAGGAUGAAAAACUCACCUAUGAUUUUUUUUCCGUCCCUGUUUCUGGAAGCAGAAUGGACACUGGCCACAUAAACAAGCGAGUGUGAGCACCUCUGCUGGUAACCGAGAAUAAGGCAAAACCAGAUAUAAGGACUGCAAUAGUAAACUGGCACAUGCGAUGCUCUUGCUAUAAACCUGCUGUUAAGUAUCAUGCAAACUUACAUACUGCAAUAAAAAUGUUCUUAACUUAA